GACGUAGGGGGCCAGCGUUGCUCGGAAUUACUGGGCGUAAAGGGUUCGUAGGCGGUGUGGCAAGUCGGGAGUGAAAUCUCUGGGCUUAACUCAGAGGCUGCUUCCGAAACUGCCGUGCUAGAGUGCGGGAGAGGCGAGUGGAAUUGCAGGUGUAGCGGUGAAAUGCGUAGAUAUCUGCAGGAACACCCGUGGCGAAGGCGGCUCGCUGGACCGCAACCGACGCUGAGGAACGAAAGCUAGGGGAGCAAACAGG
rnacentral:rRNA from 1 species